ensembl:lncRNA
AUUUGGAAUGACAUGUAGGUGAGUAAAUGAUUUUCAGUACUUCAAUUUCUGGUUGAACUGUCCCUUAAAGACUCUACAGCCUAUUGAAAAGACAUAAAUGUAUUACUUACAACCUUGAUUUCAUUAAUCUCAAAGGAAAUACCCUCAAACUAAAUGUAAACAAGUCCGUAAAGCAAUGCUAACAUCUGCAAUCUGGUUGGUAAUACGUGAUUGGCACACUGGGCUAUAUCUUCCCGAGAACCCUGAUCUCUUGUGAAAAAACAUGGUAGCCUGUCCAUGCAGACAGAUCUGACUGUGUAAUGUAUUGACAGUUGAGCAGUCUACAUUAAGUGCAUACAUUGAAAACACACGUCUGUCAAGGGAGGGGGGUUAUUUAGGAGGAAGAUCAAUAGAAGGUUAAAUGACGGCCCUUCUUUGACUCUACAGGCCCAGCUAGAGCAAGGGGGAGUAGCUCUUCCGAACUCUCCCCCUCCUUUUCUCUUUCCCUACUGCUUCUGCAGCCAUCACACAUACUCAGCUUAGUUAGCCUGGGAAAAAGAGCCCCAAACCCCGAUCAAUAACUUUGGUCUUGUCUGCCUAAUUGCUCAUUGGUUGACAUUGGCACCCAGCUAUAUGUAAGUGCAUGUUCCUGGAGUGAUUCACUCUUCCCUUUCCUCUCUCUCUCCACCUCCCUCUCUUUACUCUCAAAAACGCCUCACGCCCUCUGUUCCUUCCUCUUCGCCACGUUUGGGAUGCCCGAACCACAGUUGUCACGUCGGGACGUGAGCAUCCAAAGGCUCCGGCAAGACCUGCUCCACUCUCAUCAGGCCCGUGACGCCCAGAGUGUUCAGCUGGACGUCCAAGAGCAGAGACUGCAGGAUCUGCAGCGAGAGCUGCAAGAAAGCCAGCAGGAGCUCCAGAGGAGACACGACCGCAACCAGCAGCUUCUCAGGUUGCUGCAAGAUGCCAGGAAGCAAGAUCAGGAGCUACAGGCUCAGGAAUGGUGUUGGCUCCGGAGGGCACAAGAGGACCUGAAAGCGAGAGAGGAGGAGUGGAGGAAAGAGAGAUCCUUCCUUCAAGAGCAGCUCGAUGGUGUCAGAGAGGAGCUCCACCAUGCCAAACACUCGGGGAAGAAGAGCAUCGGCUGAAAGUGCUGCAGAUUGAUGAACUCCAAAGAGAGGUUGACAUGACGCUGGCACUGCUUGAAAAGGAGAGAGAGGAUUGUGUAAAGGCCAAGGAGCUGGAACAACUGAGAGAAGAGCAACUCAAGGACAAGCUGGUAGAAGAGCAGUCCACAGUCUCCAGGCUGCAGCGUGAGCAACAGGAAGCAGAACAUCAGAGGGAUCUCCUGGGCACCAGAGUAGCUGCGCUGAACUGUGACAUCCAGCAGAAAGACUGCAUGCGGCUCACAGAGCAGGACGAGGUGUCCAGUAGAGAUGACCUGCAGGCGGCGGACCGCUCGAGAAUCUGACUGCUGCACAAGAGGAGGAAGAGGAGGUGAGGAACACCUGUCAAUCAUUUAGUCUUUGACAACUUUUAUAGGUGUCUGUGACAUAUACAGAUUGAAAAUACAGUGAUGUACACCUUUAUUGAAAAGUUGGGGGUCAGAUUCAGAGUCUCUUAUGCUCACCAAAGCUGCUUUAAUGAAAUAUUAUUACAGUAAAAAGUGAAAGUGACGUGACAUACAGCCAAG